ACGCUCGACACCUACGGGAGGCAGCAGUGAGGGAUAUUGGUCAAUGGGGGAAACCCUGAACCAGCAACGCCGCGUGAGGGAUGACGGUCUUCGGAUUGUAAACCUCUGUCCUCUGUGAAGAUAAUGACGGUAGCAGAGGAGGAAGCUCCGGCUAACUACGUGCCAGCAGCCGUGGUAAUCUGAGGCGGGCUGGCAAGGC
rnacentral:rRNA from 1 species